rnacentral:rRNA from 1 species
UGGGGAAUAUUGCGCUAAUGCGCGAAAGCGUGACGCAGCGACGCCGCGUGGGGGAUGAAGGCCUUCGGGUCGUAAACCCCUUUCGCCAGGGACGAAGCGAAAGUGACGGUACCUGGAGAAGAAGUCCCGGCUAACUACGUGCCAGCAGCCGCGGUAACACGUAGGGGACGAGCGUUGUCCGGAAUCAUUGGGCGUAAAGCGCGCGUAGGCGGCCCGGAAAGUCGGAUGUGAAAUCCCGGGGCUCAACCCCGGGCCUGCACCCGAUACUCCCGGGCUGGAGGCAGGUAGGGGAGAUCGGAAUUCCUGGUGUAGCGGUGAAAUGCGCAGAUAUCAGGAGGAACACCGGUGGCGAAGGCGGAUCUCUGGGCCUUGCCUGACGCUGAGGCGCGAAAGCUAGGGGAGCGAACAG